rnacentral:rRNA from 1 species
GCUAAUCUGCGAAAAGCGUCGGUAAGGUGAUAUGAACCGUUAUAACCGGCGAUGUCCGAAUGGGGAAACCCAGUGCAAUUCGUUGCACUAUCGUUAACUGAAUACAUAGGUUAACGAGGCGAACCGGGGGAACUGAAACAUCUAAGUACCCCGAGGAAAAGAAAUCAACCGAGAUUCCCCCAGUAGCGGCGAGCGAACGGGGAGCAGCCCAGAGUCUGAAUCAGCUUGUGUGUUAGUGGAACGGUCUGGAAAGUCCGACGGUACAGGGUGAUAGUCCCGUACACCAAAAUGCACAGGUUGUGAACUCGAAGAGUAGGGCGGGACACGUGGUAUCCUGUCUGAAUAUGGGGGGACCAUCCUCCAAGGCUAAAUACUCCUGACUGACCGAUAGUGAACCAGUACCGUGAGGGAAAGGCGAAAAGAACCCCGGCGAGGGGAGUGAAAAAGAACCUGAAACCGUGUACGUACAAGCAGUGGGAGCACCUUCGGGUGUGACUGCGUACCUUUUGUAUAAUGGGUCAGCGACUUAUAUUCUGUAGCAAGGUUAACCGUAUAGGGGAGCCGCAGGGAAACCGAGUCUUAACUGGGCGUUAAGUUGCAGGGUAUAGACCCGAAACCCGGUGAUCUAGCCAUGGGCAGGUUGAAGGUUGGGUAACACUAACUGGAGGACCGAACCGACUAAUGUUGAAAAAUUAGCGGAUGACUUGUGGCUGGGGGUGAAAGGCCAAUCAAACCGGGAGAUAGCUGGUUCUCCCCGAAAGCUAUUUAGGUAGCGCCUCGUGAACUCAUCUUCGGGGGUAGAGCACUGUUUCGGCUAGGGGGUCAUCCCGACUUACCAACCCGAUGCAAACUACGAAUACCGAAGAAUGUUAUCACGGGAGACACACGGCGGGUGCUAACGUCCGUCGUGAAGAGGGAAACAACCCAGACCGCCAGCUAAGGUCCCAAAGUCAUGGUUAAGUGGGAAACGAUGUGGGAAGGCACAGACAGCCAGGAUGUUGGCUUAGAAGCAGCCAUCAUUUAAAGAAAGCGUAAUAGCUCACUGGUCGAGUCGGCCUGCGCGGAAGAUGUAACGGGGCUAAACCAUGCACCGAAGCUGCGGCAGCGACACUAUGUGUUGUUGGGUAGGGGAGCGUUCUGUAAGCCUGCGAAGGUGUGCUGUGAGGCAUGCUGGAGGUAUCAGAAGUGCGAAUGCUGACAUAAGUAACGAUAAAGCGGGUGAAAAGCCCGCUCGCCGGAAGACCAAGGGUUCCUGUCCAACGUUAAUCGGGGCAGGGUGAGUCGACCCCUAAGGCGAGGCCGAAAGGCGUAGUCGAUGGGAAACAGGUUAAUAUUCCUGUACUUGGUGUUACUGCGAAGGGGGGACGGAGAAGGCUAUGUUAGCCGGGCGACGGUUGUCCCGGUUUAAGCAUGUAGGCUGAUUGUCCAGGCAAAUCCGGAUAAUCAAGGCUGAGGUGUGAUGACGAGGCACUACGGUGCUGAAGUAACAAAUGCCCUGCUUCCAGGAAAAGCCUCUAAGCAUCAGGUAACAUUAAAUCGUACCCCAAACCGACACAGGUGGUCAGGUAGAGAAUACCAAGGCGCUUGAGAGAACUCGGGUGAAGGAACUAGGCAAAAUGGUGCCGUAACUUCGGGAGAAGGCACGCUGGUGUGUAGGUGAAGUCCCUGCGGAUGGAGCUGAGACCAGUCGAAGAUACCAGCUGGCUGCAACUGUUUAUUAAAAACACAGCACUGUGCAAACACGAAAGUGGACGUAUACGGUGUGACGCCUGCCCGGUGCCGGAAGGUUAAUUGAUGGGGUUAUCCGUAAGGAGAAGCUCUUGAUCGAAGCCCCGGUAAACGGCGGCCGUAACUAUAACGGUCCUAAGGUAGCGAAAUUCCUUGUCGGGUAAGUUCCGACCUGCACGAAUGGCGUAAUGAUGGCCAGGCUGUCUCCACCCGAGACUCAGUGAAAUUGAACUCGCUGUGAAGAUGCAGUGUACCCGCGGCAAGACGGAAAGACCCCGUGAACCUUUACUAUAGCUUGACACUGAACAUUGAGCCUUGAUGUGUAGGAUAGGUGGGAGGCUUUGAAGCGUGGACGCCAGUCUGCGUGGAGCCAACCUUGAAAUACCACCCUUUAAUGUUUGAUGUUCUAACGUUGGCCCCUGACCGGGGUUGCGGACAGUGUCUGGUGGGUAGUUUGACUGGGGCGGUCUCCUCCCAAAGCGUAACGGAGGAGCACGAAGGUUAGCUAAUCCUGGUCGGACAUCAGGAGGUUAGUGCAAUGGCAUAAGCUAGCUUGACUGCGAGCGUGACGGCGCGAGCAGGUGCGAAAGCAGGUCAUAGUGAUCCGGUGGUUCUGAAUGGAAGGGCCAUCGCUCAACGGAUAAAAGGUACUCCGGGGAUAACAGGCUGAUACCGCCCAAGAGUUCAUAUCGACGGCGGUGUUUGGCACCUCGAUGUCGGCUCAUCACAUCCUGGGGCUGAAGUAGGUCCCAAGGGUAUGGCUGUUCGCCAUUUAAAGUGGUACGCGAGCUGGGUUUAGAACGUCGUGAGACAGUUCGGUCCCUAUCUGCCGUGGGCGCUGGAGAAUUGAGGGGGGCUGCUCCUAGUACGAGAGGACCGGAGUGGACGCAUCACUGGUGUUCGGGUUGUCAUGCCAAUGGCACUGCCCGGUAGCUAAAUGCGGAAGAGAUAAGUGCUGAAAGCAUCUAAGCACGAAACUUGCCCCGAGAUGAGUUCUCCCUGAGACUUUAAGUCUCCUGAAGGAACGUUGAAGACGACGACGUUGAUAGGCCGGGUGUGUAAGCGCAGCGAUGCGUUGAGCUAACCGGUACUAAUGAACCGUGAGGCUUAACCUU